CUGUUUGAGUGACAUGUUUCCCGACGGAACUGUGUGAACACUCUGUGCAACUGCUUUGAGAUAUGUUUUCUCUCGUUUUGUGGGUGUGUCUCUCGUUUAUU